ACCCCAGACUCCUACGGGAGGCAGCAGUGGGGAAUAUUGGGCAAUGGGCGCAAGCCUGACCCAGCAACGCCGCGUGAAGGAAGAAGGCUUUCGGGUUGUAAACUUCUUUUAAGAGGGAAGAGUAGAAGACGGUACCUCUUGAAUAAGCCACGGCUAACUACGUGCCAGCAGCCGCGGUAAUACGUAGGUGGCAAGCGUUGUCCGGAUUUACUGGGUGUAAAGGGCGUGUAGCCGGGCCGGCAAGUCAGAUGUGAAAUCCCAAGGCUCAACCUUGGAACUGCAUUUGAAACUGUCGUUCUUGAGUACUGGAGAGGUUGACGGAAUUCCUAGUGUAGCGGCGAAAUGCGUAGAUAUUAGGAGGAACACCAGUGGCGAAGGCGGUCAACUGGACAGCAACUGACGCUGAGGCGCGAAAGCGUGGGGAGCAAACAGGAUUAGAUACCCCGGUA
rnacentral:rRNA from 1 species